GGGGCGCUGCAGCGCUGCCGCUCGCCCGGGCGGGGCGGCGGUCCGGCUGAGGCACGGCUGGCGCUAGGGGGAGCUCCGCGCCCGAACGGGCGGCCGCCCGGCCGCGUGUCUGCGCAGGCUGUUAGAUCUACCCGGAAUCCGUAUGUUGGAGGACGUGUCGUUGAUCCAUAUUGCCACGAAUGGAGACUGCACGUUUUUAGGAAGUCUAAAAGAGGGCAAAAGCAAAAGAUAUAUUUUCAUUGUUCACCCCAAUGAUCUUGCUGUUCUGACUGACCACAAGAGCUCAAAUAGCUAUGUGGGAAUAAAGAAUCUCUAGUGUUUAACAGUGGACUUGUGUUACACUGCUACUUCUCCAUUUCACAUUCCCUACUGAAGUUCCUAACAAAGUAGUUGGAAGUGCACUGCGAUUGCUGUUCAGCAUGCGGGGGUUAAUCACAUCUCAGUGUGCCAAAUGUUACACUGGUAAAUUAUUGAAAACCUUUACCUGAUUCUAAGCCUGUAUGUUUGGGUUUGAUUUUCUCGGAUGUAUCUUUCAUGAAAUGUUACGCUGAAAUGCUUUGAGCGUAUGUUGCAAAAUGUGGCACUCCCAUUUUGUGAUGAGUUCAAAGAUGCUUUUGUGAUAGAAUUUUCUCCUUAUGUUUGGUGCAGUCAAUGCUGACAGAGGGGUUUCACAGCUGAAAGCUGGGAAAGGGAGCUGAGGGACGUGGAGUGUGUAGCCGUAGCUGAGUGAAUUGCUUCCCCACUGAUUGCAACAGUGAGUGACUGGUGGAGGAACACAGACUUCAUUUGCCUGCAUCCCUGUAAAAUGGCAAGAUCCAAACGUACGUUCUGUUAUAUAGGGAAUUUAUCAUAGGAGGUAAUGCCAGUUUCUUACAAUGUGAGCAGACUGAGUGGAUCAAAAGAUAGGUGGUCUUACUGCUGAAAGGCUGAAAGGCUGAGAGCUGACUGUGAGAUGUUUAAGCUUCUAUUAACAGGUAGAUUUCAGUGCAUUCUGAGCACCCAGCUGGCUUCAUGUGUUUCAAAAUGGUGCUGUCUCGUUAUCGUCUUCUAUGGAUCCUUCAUGAGAAUAGUGCUAGCAACAUGUAAUGUAAUUUAUCACUGUUCCAUAGUGGUGCUUGGUAAAGUUUUUGUUGAGUCAAAGUUCCUCUACCAUGCAUGUAACAGAAGUUUUCUUUUAAUGUUUUACUUUCUCUUAGCAGAUUGUCAGAUUUAUCCUUUUCAUUUGUGAUUGCAACUAUUUGCAUUGCUAUUUUCCCUUCUUGCAGCUCUGAAAAAUGUCUUUGUUGUGCUUUUCCCUCUCAGGCACUUUCUUAAUACCUGCCUCCCCCAGAGAGCAGGGCUGUCCAACCACUGCUCUGGUGGGGUGCACAGCACGCAUUGCUGCAGCACAGUGUAGUCAUGCUUGCCCGCCAGUGAUCCGGAGAAAGAAAAACACAGAAAGCGUGCAGUACUUUGAGUGAGCCAAAUUAACCAAUUUCACAGAGAAAAAUAAAAGAACUGAGGAGGAGGACUAUGGAGAUUUUAAAAGAAAAGAAGAGAGACCCGGUGCAUUUGCUGGUCAUUUAGGGUACAUUUUAAUCAGAACUAUUCCUGUUUAUGAGGACUUAAAGUGGCACCACCAAAAAUAGUUUAGACUUUUGGAAUGAGCAAAAUGGACAAAAAAACUAUUGUGGAAGAAGAGAUGAGAAGGGGACAGGUUCCCCACGGGAACAGCCUAAGGAGAGCGAAAGGAGAGAGCACUAAGCGAUUAUUUCAGCAUCCCAGGCGGGGAUGGGAGACACGGACCUGAAGGAGCAGAAGAGGGGAUCCCCAGGAGAACAGAAGGGCAGCAGGGGGGCACUGCGAUCACACCGGCUGCUGGAAAAGGGGCUGUGGCAGAAGUGGAACUGUCUUUCUGUAUCAGUGUGAACUGGAAAGGAGAAGCAGCGCCGGGUCUGAAUCCUAACAAUAGCAGGAAGAAGGAUCUUAGGGGAGUUUACAAAGCUGUGAUGGACGAUAUUCACACCUUUUUUUAAAUACAAAUGGUCCAAUCAUUUUUCCUUGCAUUUUACUACAUUUUAUUUGUGCGUGUGUUUUCUUCAGUGUUUUUCCUUCCUUUUGUGGUUGAUACUGAGCAACAGAAGCAGCAUUUUGGCAGCUGAGUGAAAUACCACGUGCCUUUAAGAUGCGAGCAGCAAACUGGAAUGCACUUUAAGGCGAUAUGUAUUAAUGAAUCAAGGAAUGACACCGUCAGAAAUAAGUUCAUGUUUUGUAAAAUAUGAGAGUAGGCUUCCAGGACUCUACACUUUAGACAGAAAUAAAAUGCAGCAAGCUGUUUAAAAUAUAUAUUCAUUGGCACUUCAUAGUGAUCUGUAAAUGUUCUUUGUAAUCUUUUAAGCUUGACAGCUAGAAAACGAAAAAAAAAAAAAAAACAACCGUCCUCCAUUUCAGAAUGCCAGCACUGUGUUGGAAUGGCUUUAGAGAAGAAGACAGGCUUCUGGACCUCAGUGAAAUCCAGCUAAUAGUGAGAGCACACAUAACAUUGCUAAAAAUGAAAGCCAAAGUGUUCUUGGCACCUUUCCACCCGUAAGCAUUCAUUCAUUUGAAAAAUAGUAUUCCUUAGAGAGGAACAAGCUAGCAAAGAAAGGCAGAGUCACAGAAGGACAGCGCACAGUUUUCCACUUCUAACGGCACCCACCAUUUCUGUGCACAGAUCAGCACUAAAAUCAAAUUUUGGAUCAAGGUCUGCCUGGCACUAGGUGCUGCACAUAAAAUUGCCACACCACGAGAACCAGGGUAUUUCCAAAGCUGCAAUUUGUCGGACACCAACAAGUAGGGAUUAACAACCACAUCGGAAAUAAUGAGCCUUGACAGAUCUAGGGUUAAAUACUUUAAAAUUAGAUCCUGCUGAAAGCUGAAUCCUGUUGCUUAGCGACGACUGCAUGGGAUGCUGCUGUCACUCCACGGAUGCUUCUCUGGGGAGUCAGCACUGCGCUCACAGAAGUGGGUUAUGAUUGGGUCAAGGUGACAUCACGAAGCACCGCAGCAACAUUUUUUUAAGGUAGCAUGUAGCACCAUUGCACUCAGCACAAUAGCUGUGUAGCCACUGGGAGGCUUAAGGAAACAUCUGGCUUUUCUUUUGAAAGGGCUCCACUCUACCAACACGGUACCUGCCUCAAGGAAGGGCUCAGGGACCCCAUGGAGACAGCAGGUUGUUCUGGCAAGCACACCAUAGCCCAACACAACAGGUGGACUUUUAAUCUUUUCCAAUUACCCACAGCCAAAGGAAAAGAAAGAUAAAAUGCCUGUAAUUUGUGGAGGUCAGGUUGCGUAUGCAGAGCAUGGAAUCCUCCACCAGCAGCUCAAAAAACAUGCACAAAGCUUAGGAGAGAGAGGAAAACGCACCCUCCCAGAAAAUGACUGAAAAUUUGGUUUGCUGAGCUCAUUUAAGCAUUUAAAGCAAAUGAGAACCUGCCAGAUCUUAGCGAGAAAAUACCAAAAUGCCAAUUUGAUGGAAUAAAAAAAAAAAAAAAAAGUGUUGGAGACAUGAAAUCAACUUUUAAAUGUAAUGAAGUGCAGAGUUUUCCAAAAUACCACAUGCCAGGUGAAAAGCACUGGACACCUGAGGGCUUCUGAGGUUGGGCUGAUAGGGACCAACCUGAGUCUGUGGGCAAGGCAAUAACCAAGAAAUGAAUUACCACCAUCUUUUUAGGAAUGGAUGCAAAAACUGUGCAUCCAGUCCAAAUGAGUAUGCUGCCCAUUAAUAGAAGUGGGGAUUACAGAAGUGGAGACAACCAGCAUAAACGAAAAGCUCACCUAAACGUGCAACUGUAAUAAGUCACCUGUCCUUUUGUAGAUGCUGAAAGAGCAGAGAAGUACUUGGUUGAAGGUAGUCAUUCUGAUGACUCAAAGUAUGAUGACAGCAGAAGAGGCAUCUCCUAGGAGCAGAGCUGCAAAGGCAGGGCAGCACUGAGGCCGGCUUGCAGAAAGCACUGACAUUCCUGAGGAGCAUCCGUACGUAGCUCCUGCCAUGCGUGUGUCAGCACACUGAAUGCAAACCAGGACUGAGCUAAAAGAACCGGAAGGGUGGCUACAAGGAAUGCAGAUCAUGUCUUCCAAACGGAAAGCAAAUGAUCUUGGUUUGUUUAGUAGCUCAAGAGCCCAAGGAGAGGAAUGAUUGCUUUUGUACUGAGGCAAUGGGAAAAUAAGCACUCGUGUUUAACGAAGCUCUUUAGACAAACACUGGCAGGGGAUAACUAAUUAUGUUAGCUGGAAAUGGGUUGUAGCUGCAAGAGCAGGUAGCUUUCAGGAGAGCCUGCUUGAAGAACAAGGAGAAUAAGAAACCCACACCAUCUGAAGACUGAGAACUUCAAGCACAGCUGAUACUACUGUCUUGUCUCAGACGCAAGAACAACUUACAGCUCAAAACAGGAGUUUCUACAUCCAGAUACACUAGGGAAGUUCACAAUAACGUUGCUGGACUUUUACUUGUACUCCUAUGUGAUUGCCACAAAGCUGCCAGAUGUUUGCUGUUACACAGAUACACACGCAGAACACUCAAAUUAAGAACACUACAGGUACACGGAAACUCGAGAUCUAAGAAAGAAUCAGCACAUUCUGUGUCGAAUUUAGACAUGCAUUGUUAAAAAUAAAUCUAAUCUAAGUAGUAUUUCCUGAACAGAUGUCCUCCAAAUCCAGAGGGCAUACCUGGGUAACUGCUUUGGUGAAUGCUUUACUUCAGGAGCUGUGGCUCCACACUGAGGGUAAUUCCCAGCAGUCACAAAGAAAAAUGCUCUCUGACAUUUAACAACAAUGGUGUGAAUAACAAUUAGAUGUCAUUAACACAUGAUUCUUAGCUGUGGUUUUGUCCAAGAAAAGUAAUUUCUGUAUGAGCUACACUGAAGUGAACGCUUACACAAUUCUGCUCCCACCUCCUGAUAACUCUGCUUCCCAGGCACCACGAGGAGUUCACGCACGUGCGCUCAUCCAGGCAGCAGAUCUGUCCCAGGAGCAGGGUGCAAGCUGAGACAAGUGGAAAAUGGGAUGGGAGCAUUUUGCUCCUGCUGCUGGAGGAGGGCGUUGCCACUGGUAGGCCUUCCACAAGGCCUUACGCAUAAGGGUGCAGCAGAUCCCAUCAAUCACAGCUAAAGGAAAUACUGAAAAAGCAUCAAGUGAGAACUAUGCAGCUUUAUCCAGGGAUAUGCUCUUGAAAUUAUCCAUCCUAUACUGCACUGCUGAUCUCUGAGUGCUAUACAAGCAGCUUAACUGCAGUGAUACAGAUAUAGAACCAAGUAAUCAAAGACAAUUCAUCAGAAAAAAACUUGAGUUUUUUUGCAAAAAAGCGAAAUUAAAGAGGUGAGAUGUCUCACACGAGGACAAAAGGUGCAUAGCAGUAUUCCAGCAGUUUCCAAGAUGUCAGAACAUUCCUCAAGUUCCAUUAAACCUCAGCCUUAAUAGGAUAUACUUGAAAUAUUACGGCCAGUUACGGAUGAACUCACCUGAAAACAAACCCUGCUAUGAACUGAUGGGGUCUUGCUACCAUACACAUUACUUCCACGUGCAUGCAACGUUCUUAACCAAGCAGAGACCUACAA